AUUGAACGCUGGCGGCAUGCCUUACACAUGCAAGUCGAACGGUAACGGGCCUUCGGGUGCCGACGAGUGGCGAACGGGUGAGUAAUGUAUCGGAACGUACCUUUCAGUGGGGGAUAACGUAGCGAAAGUUACGCUAAUACCGCAUAUUCUGUGAGCAGGAAAGCAGGGGAUCGCAAGACCUUGCGCUGAUUGAGCGGCCGAUAUCAGAUUAGCUAGUUGGUGAGGUAAAGGCUCACCAAGGCGACGAUCUGUAGCGGGUCUGAGAGGAUGAUCCGCCACACUGGAACUGAGACACGGUCCAGACUCCUACGGGAGGCAGCAAUGGGGAAUUUUGGACAAUGGGGGCAACCCUGAUCCAGCCAUGCCGCGUGAGUGAAGAAGGCCUUCGGGUCGUAAAGCUCUUUCGGCCGGGAAGAAAUCGUAUGGGUUAAUACCCUGUGCGGAUGACGGUAUCGGCAUAAGAAGCACCGGCUAACUACGUGCCAGCAGCCGCAGUAA
rnacentral:rRNA from 1 species